rnacentral:rRNA from 1 species
UACGGAGGGUGCGAGCGUUGUCCGGAAUCAUUGGGCGUAAAGGGCGCGUAGGUGGCCCGGUCAGUUCGUGGUGAAAGCGCGGGGCUCAACCCUGCGUCGGCCAUGAAUACUGCCGCGACAGGAGCACUGUAGAGGCAGGCGGAAUUCCGGGUGUAGCGGUGGAAUGCGUAGAGAUCCGGAAGAACACCGGUGGCGAAGGCGGCCUGCUGGGCAGUUGCUGACACUGAGGCGCGACAGCGUGGGGAGCAAACAGG